CCAGUAGACGCUAAAAGGGAAGGGAGGGUCAGGCUCACAGGAUGUCUUCCCACCUCACCCAUGGGAUCCUCCACCCUUCUCACCAGAACCUGCCCAGGCCCAACAUCUGUGUCUCAGCCUUCCCAGAUCCUAUCUCCCCUUUUUCUGGUCGCAGCACCUUAAUUUUCCAAGGGAAGUACCCUGCCCUACUCCUAGCCCAGGUAGCUAAGGUGAGGCCGACCCCACCCAUUCUCCCCUGUAGGACUCCAGGACUCCACUGCACCCAGGCUUGGCCACAAUGCUCAGUGCAAGGAUGACUCCGUGACCCAGGCAUUGCCCAGGAGUCUCAAAUCUCAGAAUUGUUUUAGAAUGACUGGGAAAGAUAUGCUCCCCUCCGUCCCCUGGGAAGUUGUGGCAAGGACAGCAGUCUUUUCACAGGUGAAAGGUACCAUAGUCUGAAAAUGAUGCCAACAGAGAGGAAGAGCCAAAAGAUGGGAAAAGAGAAGGUCCCCACCACCUAAACCCUUGGAUCCAGGCAAGCCUGAAGCCACUGCCCAUGGAUUUUUCAAUUCACAUGAGCCACGAGAUGACAGCAUUAGUGAAUUGGUGGUGUCUACACCUGUGGUGUUGAGAGGCAUGAGAUCAGCCUUGUAUUAGGCUGGAGGAGAAGGCAGUUGGGAGCAUGCGCAUUCUAUCAUGGACCCGCUUACUCUCACUGUGUCUCCUCCUGCCUGCAGAACACCAGCUCGGUGUCUCUCUGCUGAAGAUCACUAAGCUCUGCUAAAGACUGAGUUCUAUUCUUCUAAGACUACUUCACCCUCAAAGAUGAUCUCUCUCUCUCCCUUCUGCUAAGACAGAGAAAAAGGUACAGAAACAGACAGUCUGGAUGACCUGAGCUGAGUGCUGGGCCAAAAACAGACUUGCACUAUGGAUCCUUCAGUGGCUCCCCAUGCCCUUGAGAAGCAAGCUCUUUAACAUGACUUGCAGGGCACCCCAGGACCUCGCCCUCGUUCACCUCUCCAGGCCUCUCCUUACUACCACCUCCUUUCACUCCAUGAUCCAGCCAGCCAGAGAUAUCUGCAGACUCCUGAGGCUCCAGGCUCUCAUGGGAAGCCCCUUCACGGAUGCUGCUUCUUCCUGGUUUUCCUCCCCACCUCACUCCCAGGCUCAUUCCUUCUCACUCUUUGAGUCUCAGCAAGGGUAUCACCUCCUACGGGAAGCCCUCUCAGCUGCUCCUUCAGCCUCUGAAGCCUAACUUCCUGCUCACUUUUCUAUCUUCCCCUCCAUAUUGUGAUCCUAAAGGUACAAGGUAGUCAAUUCACUUUAUUUUCAAAUAAAACACUUACUAAGAGUGUAC